AUUUAUAUAGUUUAAUAUAAAACCCCUCAUUUUCAAUGAGGAAAUAAGAAUUAAUCUUUAUAAAUA
rnacentral:tRNA from 1 species